UGUGAUGUCUCAGGGUGCGCUGGGCCGGGUGACGCAACCGGGGGUCGCGGGCGCGCAGGGCGCAGCACUUGGCCGCGGAGGCCUGACCAGCGCCCCGUCCCACUCUGCACCCCUUCCGCGGGCCCCAGCCUGCACCGGAGCCUGGCCCAGCCCUGACUCCCGGGGGCCAGGGACAGUGGCAAAGGCCCCUAGUGUGGGCGGUGGGGGGCCUUCAAAAGAGGGCCACGGGAGAGGGCGAAGUAGGGGGGAGCCUCCAAAGGGCCACCACGGGAGGGGACCUCUUUCCUUGGUUUGGCCGUUGAAGCCAUUUCCAGUUCAGAGAGCGACCCAAGCUUCCCAGAGAAGCCUAACCUCCGCUCCCACUCAGUCUCCAAGAGUCCCUUGGGACCUCAGUAAAAAUGUGGACACACCUUUCUGCUUCCCCUCCCCCGUUUCUUGUAACUCUGGAGAAUUCCUGGGUCUUAUCACGUUUGGGGUCACAACUCUGUGAACUUCAGUCAAAGAGCUCUUUAUGGGUUGCACACAGAAAGAGUGAGGCCUGGGGGCAUGGAAUUUGCUGAGAAACGACUUAGGGGCCUGUGCUCAGUGCUCUGCCUGUCGGACAUCUAGGGCCUGACAGAAAAUGGCUGUGGGUGUGGAGGAUUCCAAGAGGGGGACGAGUGGGCAGGGCCGACACCGGCCAACAUGUGUUGGUCAUGGCUGUUGGCGGUGAGCACUGAGUACUGGAAGCUCAGCUCCUCAUUCCUCUGUAGAGGCUCCUGAGGCACAGGCCUGUGUCCUUGAAACAGGCCCUGAAGGAGAGUGAGAGGUCCCCUCAGGUCACCCAGGUGAGCUCCAGAGAGAGGAAGAUCCACUUGGGCUAAGGAGCUGGGGUGGAGAUGGGAGUCAGCAGAGGGGCUAGGAGGACCUUGGAGCUGGGCCAGAGAGAGGAGAAGUCCCCCCGCCUGGGAUCUCCCAUCCCAGGGGUCCUAUUAGGGGCUCAGGCCCUGAGUUCAAGGCCCCCCUGAGGCAGGAUCAGACUUUCCACUGCCUAGAUUCACACUCCCGAGGUCGUUUCACCCUGGAGGGAGCAGGUCUGUGUCUGCCUCCUGCAGAGCCAGGGUGGUAGCCAGGCCUCCCCCCCCCCCAUUGCGCCCUAUCUGCUAGCCGUCUUCCUGUUCUUACUCUUCAUUUUAUUUUCCAUAAUUGUUACAGGCUGAAGUUGCACCGAAAGUUAUUCUUCUGGAAAGCAAAUGGCCAAGAGAAUCAGGCUUCCUCUCCAUCAUGGGGUGGGGGGCAGGGAGAACCUGGCUUUGAGCAGAGUGUGUGGGCGUGUGUGUGGGUACCAGCCUCAGGCUGGGCCACUGUGGCUGAUUCAAGUGAGGUUCCUGGGCAUGGCAGGCCUGGUCUUUGGGGGAACAUUGCCCAGGUAGCUACAGCUUCUGCAGGGCCAAGACCCUCAUCGCUUGAGCGCACACUGGAUACCAGACAUUGCACCCUCCGCCUCAAGGUCUGCUUUUCUGGAAAGUUUUCAAAUGGCAUGGGGGCCACACUGGCACUUUGCACUCCCUACAGCCAUCUGAGUGGUGGCAGGUCCCUUAAGAGCCGGGCCAAUGGGAGGGCCCAGAUCUUGCUGGGGAUGUUUUCCUCAGAAGAGAUUAAGGUAGUUCUGGCUCACAUGGGAUCUCUCUUCGUUACUCACACUCCUGUCCUGAUGCCUCCACCAUGAUGUGAUGUAGCCAGGAUCCCUCACCAGAGCUGGCACUAUGCUAUUUGGACUUUCAGCCUCAAAAGCUGUGAGCUAAAUAACCCGCUUUAUAAGUUAACUAGCCUCGGGGAUUUAGUUAUAGUGACAAAAAAUGGGCAAACAUACCUGAUCACCUCCAGACCUUUGCUUAGCUUGUUCCCUUUGAAAUAUGUCCAUCCUCUGCUGUCUGCAUUUAUCUUUUCCUAGCUGAUUCCUCAGUCAUAGCCACCUCAAGAGCACAUUUUCCAACGUUGGUUUCUCGCUGGGUCAGCUGAGUGCCCGUCUGGACCCACAGCCUCCACCUGGCAGGAUAGUGUGAGGCCACAGAUAUGGGAAUAGAGAAGAGACGCUUCAGGAAGAUUCAGAUCGUUUCUGCAGCACCAAACGGACCACAUCAGAAGAAGACCUGCCCUGACCGUGGAAGAGUACCUAUAAUAUGGAAGAUCAAUACUUUCUCCAAGACUUGAUUAAUCUGUGUGGUGCAUGGAGGAGUUGGUGGGUGGUUUAAAGAGAUUCUACUUCCCUAAGUAGACAGCACCGGAUGCCCCAAUUUCCACAAAUAAAACCCUUUGGUUCUCCCAGGUUUGAACAGUCAAA